AGUGAACGCUGGCGGCGUGCUUAACACAUGCAAGUCGAACGAGAACGGGUUAUAGCUUGCUAUAAUUGUCAGCUAAGUGGCGCACGGGUGAGUAAUGUAUAGGUAAUAUGCCUCUUACUAAGGGAUAACAAAUGGAAACGUUUGCUAAUACCUUAUACUCCUUAUUAACUAAAGUUGGUAAGGGAAAGAUUUAUUGGUAAGAGAUUGGCCUGUAUUGUAUCAGUUAGUUGGUGGGGUAAUGGCCUACCAAGACUAUGACGCAUAACUGGUUUGAGAGGAUGAUCAGUCACACUGGAACUGAGACACGGUCCAGACUCCUACGGGAGGCAGCAGUGGGGAAUAUUGCACAAUGGGCGAAAGCCUGAUGCAGCAACGCCGCGUGAGGGACGAAGGCCUUCGGGUUGGUAAACCUCUUUAGUCAGGGAAGAAGCGAAAGUGACGGUACCGGAAUAAGAAGACACCGGCUAACUACGUG
rnacentral:rRNA from 1 species